rnacentral:rRNA from 1 species
CCUACGGGGAGCAGCAGUGGGGAAUAUUGGGCAAUGGGCGCAAGCCUGACCCAGCAACGCCGCGUGAAGGAAGAAGGCUUUCGGGUUGUAAACUUCUUUUGUCAGGGAAGAGUAGAAGACGGUACCUGACGAAUAAGCCACGGCUAACUACGUGCCAGCAGCCGCGGUAAUACGUAGGUGGCAAGCGUUGUCCGGAUUUACUGGGUGUAAAGGGCGUGUAGCCGGGUUGACAAGUCAGAUGUGAAAUCCUGCGGCUUAACCGCAGAACUGCAUUUGAAACUGUUGAUCUUGAGUACUGGAGAGGCAGACGGGAUUCCUAGUGUAGCGGUGAAAUGCGUAGAUAUUAGGAGGAACACCAGUGGCGAAGGCGGUCUGCUGGACAGCAACUGACGGUGUGGCGCGAAAGCGUGGGGAGCAAACAGGAUUAGAUACCCUUGUAGUC